rnacentral:tRNA from 1 species
AGGGAUAUAGCUCAGUAGUAGAGCACAUGCCCAGCAUGCAUAAGUCCUGGGUUUGAUCCCCAGCACUA